rnacentral:misc_RNA from 1 species
GAUGAAGAACGUAGCGAAAUGCGAUAAGUAAUGUGAAUUGCAGAAUUCCGUGAAUCAUCGAAUCUUUGAACGCACAUUGCGCCCGCUGGUAUUCCGGCGGGCAUGCCUGUUCGAGCGUCAUUUCAACCCUCAAGCCCCCGGGUUUGGUGUUGGGGAUCGGCUCUGCCCUUCUGGGCGGUGCCGCCCCCGAAAUACAUUGGCGGUCUCGCUGCAGCCUCCAUUGCGUAGUAGCUAACACCUCGCAACUGGAACGCGGCGCGGCCAUGCCGUAAAACCCCAACUUCUGAAUGUUGACCUCGGAUCAGGUAGGAAUACCCGCUGAACUUAAGCAUAUCAAUAAGCGGAGGA